rnacentral:tRNA from 1 species
GCCUCUAUAGUAUAAUGGAUUAGUAUGUUAGCUUGCGGAGCUAAAGACCCGAGUUCGAUUCUCGGUAGAGGCA